UAAGGAAUAUUGGUCAAUGGACGAAAGUCUGAACCAGCCAUGCCGCGUGGAGGAUGAAGGCCCUCUGGGUUGUAACUUCUUUUAUAGGGGACGAAAAAGGGUCUUUCUAGAUCAACUGACGGUACCCUAGGAAUAAGCACCGGCUAACUCCGUGCCAGCAGCCGCGGUAAUACGGAGGGUGCAAGCGUUAUCCGGAUUCACUGGGUUUAAAGGGUGCGUAGGUGGGUUAGUAAGUCAGUGGUGAAAUCUUCGAGCUUAACUCGGAAACUGCCAUUGAUACUAUUAGUCUUGAAUAUUGUGGAGGUUAGCAGAAUAUGUCAUGUAGCGGUGAAAUGCUUAGAUAUGACAUAGAACACCAAUUGCGAAGGCAGCUGGCUACACAUAUAUUGACACUGAGGCACGAAAGCGUGGAGAUCAAACA
rnacentral:rRNA from 1 species